AGCAAUUCCGAGAGGUUUAGGGUCUGUAACGUCGUCCAAAACUGCAUGUAAGACUUUCUUGAAUUCUUCCAUCAAUUGCUUCUGUUUUCGUUAAUUAUGUUGAUUUUGUUGGCUGAAAUAGCUUGAUUUUGUUGAAGAUUUAUGGGUUUGGCUUUGCUUGUUUGCACCAAUACCUUUCACACAGUCUUUUUCCUUCAGGUCUUGAUUUGAUUUGCACUUUGUUUAUUUCCCCCAACUUGGAAGAAAAAAAAAGGACUAUGGGACGAAACAACUGUUAUCUAACAAACAUGGGUAUUGUGUAUAUCAUGGACUAUGGGACUGUUCUGUUAUUGACCAAAAUGAUAUGCUUAAUCCCCACUUAAAAGGUUAUUGACCAAAAUGAUUUGACCAAAUUACAGGAAUAAGAACUACUAUUUCUUUGCCAUAUAAUGAACCAUAAAAUGCCAGAGUUUAAAAUUUUAAAUAUGCUCAAGAGAUCAGAGAACCAAAAGAAAGAAUGCAUGCAACCUUUCAUUUACUGUAUUGUCUGUGACUCAAUACCAAACUUAAAUGUUUUUCUCCAAUAACCCCUCCUUUUACUGUGUAUAUCUGGCCUUUAUUGGUACUUUGUUAACGGAGUGACUGUAGUAUCAAAAAUACUGAUGGUCUGCUCUUUAUCCAGGAAAAAGGAAAAAGUUAAAAAGAAAGCUAAAUACUUUUAAAGUUUCAUGGCUGAGAAAAU